ACUCAAAGGAAUUGACGGGGACCCGCACAAGCGGUGGAGCAUGUUGUUUAAUUCGAAGCAACGCGAAGAACCUUACCUACGCUUGACAUCCUGUGCUAUAUCCAGAGAUGGAUAGUUCCCUUCGGGGACGCAGAGACAGGUGCUGCAUGGCUGUCGUCAGCUCGUGUCGUGAGAUGUUGGGUUAAGUCCCGCAACGAGCGCAACCCUUAUCGUCUGUUGCCAUCAUUUAGUUGGGAACUCUGACGAGACUGCCGGUGACAAGCCGGAGGAAGGUGGGGACGACGUCAAGUCAUCAUGGCCCUUACGCGUAGGGCUACAAACGUGCUACAAUGGCCGUGACAAUGGGCAGCUAGGCUGCGAAGCCAAGCGAAUCCCUAAAAACGGUCUCAGUUCGGAUUGUACUCUGCAACUCGAGUGCAUGAAGCUGGAAUCGCUAGUAAUCGUGGAUCAGCAUGCCACGGUGAAUACGUUCCCGGGUCUUGUACACACCGCCCGU
rnacentral:rRNA from 1 species